GACGAACGCUGGCGGCGUGCCUAACACAUGCCAGUCGAGCGGUAAGGCCUCUUCGGGGUUACACGAGCGGCGAACGGUUGCGUAACACGUGGGUGACCUGCCCUCUGCUCUUUGAUGUGGCUGGUAACGUAGGUCUACUACCGCAUAUGCCCUUUCCUCGCAUGGGGUUUGGUGGAAAGUUUUUUCGGCUGGGGAUGGUCCCGCGGCCUGUCAUCUUGUUGGCGGGGUGAUGGGCUACCAAGGCGACGACGGGUAGCCCGGGUGCGAGGGCGACCGGCCAAAUUGGGACUGAGACACGGGCCAGACUUAUACGGGAGGCAGCAGUAGGGAAUAUUGCGCAAUGGGCGGAAGCCUGACGCAGCGACGGGGCGUGGGGGAUGACGGCCGUCGGGGAGUAAACGUCGGUCGACACCGACGAAUUUGGACGGUAGGGGUAGAAGAAGCACCGGCUAACUACGUG
rnacentral:rRNA from 1 species